rnacentral:rRNA from 1 species
GACGAACGCUGGCGGCGUGCUUAACACAUGCAAGUCGAACGGAAAGGCCUUUUCGGAGGUACUCGAGUGGCGAACGGGUGAGUAACACGUGGGUGAUCUGCCCUGCACUCUGGGAUAAGCCUGGGAAACUGGGUCUAAUACCGGAUAGGACUGCACUUUAGUGUGUGUGGUGGAAAGUUUUUUCGGUGUAGGAUGAGCCCGCGGCCUAUCAGCUUGUUGGUGGGGUAAUGGCCUACCAAGGCGGCGACGGGUAGCCGGACUGAGAGGUUGGUCGGCCACAUUGGGACUGAGAUACGGCCCAGACUCCUACGGGAGGCAGCAGUGGGGAAUAUUGCACAAUGGGCGCAAGCCUGAUGCAGCGACGCCGCGUGGGGGAUGACGGCCUUCGGGUUGUAAACUCCUUUCGCCAGGGACGAAGCGUUUUGUGACGGUACCUGGAGAAGAAGCACCGGCUAACUACGUGCCAGCAGCCGCGGUAAUACGUAGGGUGCAAGCGUUGUCCGGAAUUACUGGGCGUAAAGAGCUCGUAGGUGGUUUGUCACGUCGUCUGUGAAAUUCCACAGCUUAACUGUGGGCGUGCAGGCGAUACGGGCUGACUUGAGUACUGUAGGGGUAACUGGAAUUCCUGGUGUAGCGGUGAAAUGCGCAGAUAUCAGGAGGAACACCGAUGGCGAAGGCAGGUUACUGGGCAGUUACUGACGCUGAGGAGCGAAAGCAUGGGUAGCAAACAGG